rnacentral:rRNA from 1 species
AAACUUGAAUGAUCCGUCGCAGACCGAAGUCAACGCGAUCCGUUCGGUUACUAUGAAUCACCUGAGGACCACCGGAAGGUGGGUUGGUUCUGUAUCUAAUAAACACUGCCCUUCCAGGGGAAGAGGCAUGUGCGCAUGUAUUAGCCAUAGAAUUACCACGGUUAUCCAUGUAGUAAAGACCAUCAAAUAAACUAUAACUGUUUUAAUGAGCCAUUCGCAGUUUAGCCGUAUAAAAGCUUAUACUUAGACAUGCAUGGCUUAAUCUUUAAGACAAGCAUAUGA